GACCCUAAAAAGUCCUUUAAACACAAAGGUUUGGUCCUAGCCUUGUCAUCAAUUAUUACUUAAUAUACACAUGCAAGUCUCCGCACCCCUGUGAAAACGCCCUUUAAGCCCCACUAGGGACAAGGAGCUGGUAUCAGGCACAAUUCUUAGCCCAAGACACCUAGCUACGCCACACCCACACGGGAAUUCAGCAGUGAUUAACAUUGAACAUGAGCGACAGCUCGACUCAGUUAAAGUAAAAAGAGCCGGCAAAUCUGGUGCCAGCCGCCGCGGUUACACCACGUGGCUCAAAUUGAUCUCUUUCGGCGUAAAGCGUGAUUAAAGUUACAAAAAAUUAUAGCCAAACUAAAACUAAGCUGUGACACGCUUGUGUUUAGGAGAAUCAAAAACGAAAGUUACUAUAAUUACUACAACUUGAACCCACGACAGUUGGGACACAAACUGGGAUUAGAUACCCCACUAUGCCCAACCGUAAACUUUAAAUUACAUCCUCAUCGCCCGGGAACUACGAGCAACGCUUAAAACCCAAAGGACUUGACGGUACCCCACAUCCACCUAGAGGAGCCUGUCCUGUAAUCGAUAACCCCCGUUUAACCUCACCAUUUUUAGCCAAUCAGCCUGUAUACCUCCGUCGUCAGCUUACCACGUGAGCGAUUAUAAGUGAGCUUAAUGCCCGUACGCCAACACGUCAGGUCAAGGUGCAGCAAAUAAAAUGGAAAGAGAUGGGCUACACUCUCUAACCUAGAAAACACGAAAGACUAUUUAUGAAACCUAGUCUGAAGGCGGAUUUAGUAGUAAAAAGAGACAAGAGUGCUCUUUUUAACACGGCACUGGGGUGUGUACACACCGCCCGUCACCCUCUUCAAAGCUAAUAAUAAGUUCUUAACACACUAAGGCAUUAUAGAAGAGGCAAGUCGUAACAUGGUAAGUAUACCGGAAGGUGUGCUUGGAAA
rnacentral:ncRNA from 1 species